UUUAAAGGAUGUCAAACAAACAGUGGAUCAAAUGGAAAAACUUGGUUUCCCUGGCGCAGAUUUGUUCGCAACCAUGUUCAGGCUUUACCAAAAAGGAAUCGAUCGUGAUAUAGCACUUACAAAGAAACUGAAUCCGAAGGCAAAAUCGUGGGAAGAGUUCGUUGUUAGUCACAAAGAAUAUUUUGAAAGUAACUUGUAAAACUAGCUGAUAUUUAUAGUCUGGACAACUUGGGCAACAGGCCAAGUUAAUUGUAGUAUUAUAACCUAUUGAACUGUAUUAUUAUUAUUAUACGAUCUUAGGAUGUCUUUGUCUCGACGCAGAUGUAAUGAUGAAAUGAUACUCGUAGUGGUGACGAUAGUGAUAUAGUGCAUAGUGAUGAUGAUGGUGAUUAUGAUGGUGGUUUUGAUAAUUAAGUGUUUGUAGUACGUCAGAAUUUUACGCCCUUUUCCCCGAGCCAAUAUCACUUUAUUGGAUAACUACUCACAACUGAUAAAUUUGUAACGAUCUAUCGAAAGUUUAUGAAAUAUUUAAACCUCUAUGUCACUUACAGGGUUUCAACUCUUUUAUUAGAGAUGAAAUGCAGGACAUUUUCCUGUAAAUUGAAGGAUCUAAACCUGGAAAAUGGCAUGGAUUUUGCUUUAUGAAACUCUACAAUUUAUUCAAAAUCAAUUGUGUAUAUAAUGUUUAAGCACAGAACAACAAUUUAACCAUAUUACACUCGUUUCGCUAUCUGAAACGAGCGCGGUCAAGCCAUACAUAUUUAUGCAUCAGACUCAUUUCCAGAUCCAGUGGC